ACAUGAGUCAAAUUACGAGUGCCGGAUACAACAUCUUCUGGAUGCUAAUAUUGUGGCACAUGAGCAAAAAAAAAAGUAGUUUAAAGAUUUUUUAGGUUAAAUUUUCAAAUUUUUGUAGAGCUAACAAGUCGCGUAUACACGUACGGUUUAAGCGGAUCAACAGUUCACGAAUAGAUGCGUGCACCUAUUCAUUUCUUUUUUUUUCAUACCACGUUAUUAUAUCAAGUAUUUUAUUAUAAUAUACAUACAAGAGCAUUUUGAGAAUUGUGUGUAUGUGUAUAGAUAUAGUUUGCCGCU